CAGUCCGGCUUUCCAUUUCUAAUCCUCCUGCCAGAACUGUGGUAGAGAGCUUGGGGCUGGACGUAAAUAAAGCACUCUUAUAUUAGGAGGGCUUCUUCCAAGUGUUGAGCCGCCCUCAAAGGCACAAGAGAACAUC